AUUGAACGCUGGCGGCGUGCUUUACACAUGCAAGUCGAACGGUAACGCGGGGCAACCUGGCGACGAGUGGCGAACGGGUGAGUAAUGCAUCGGAACGUGCCCGGUAGUGGGGGAUAACUGCUCGAAAGAGCAGCUAAUACCGCAUACGACCUGAGGGUGAAAGGGGGGGAUCGCAAGACCUCUCGCUAUUGGAGCGGCCGAUGUCGGAUUAGCUAGUUGGUGGGGUAAGGGCCCACCAAGGCGACGAUCCGUAGCUGGUCUGAGAGGACGACCAGCCACACUGGGACUGAGACACGGCCCAGACUCCUACGGGAGGCAGCAGUGGGGAAUUUUGGACAAUGGACGCAAGUCUGAUCCAGCCAUGCCGCGUGAGUGAAGUAGGCCUUCGGGUUGUAAAGCCCUUUCGGCCGGGAAGAAAUCGCAUCAGCUAAUACCUGGUGUGGAUGACGGUACCGGAAUAAGAAGCACCGGCUAACUACGUGCCAGCAGCCGCCGUAA
rnacentral:rRNA from 1 species